rnacentral:rRNA from 1 species
AGAGUUUGAUCCUGGCUCAGGAUGAACGCUAGCGGCAGGCCUAAUACAUGCAAGUCGAACGGUCAGCAGCAAUGCUGAUAGUGGCGCACGGGUGCGUAACGCGUAACCAACCUGCCCUUGACUGGGGGAUAGCCCGCCGAAAGGCGGAUUAAUACCGCAUAAACCAGCAGCCCGGCAUCGGGCAACUGGUAAAGAUUUAUUGGUCAAGGAUGGGGUUGCGUGCCAUUAGCUAGUUGGCGGGGUAACGGCCCACCAAGGCGACGAUGGCUAGGGGACCUGAGAGGGUGAUCCCCCACACUGGCACUGAGAUACGGGCCAGACUCCUACGGGAGGCAGCAGUAGGGAAUAUUGGGCAAUGGCCNGAGAGGCUGACCCAGCCAUGCCGCGUGCCGGAUGAAGGCCUUCUGGGUUGUAAACGGCUUUUCUCAGGGAAGAAAAAGACCCUGCGGGGUACACUGACGGUACCUGAGGAAUAAGCACCGGCUAACUCCGUGCCAGCAGCCGCGGUAAUACGGAGGGUGCAAGCGUUGUCCGGAUUUAUUGGGUUUAAAGGGUGCGUAGGUGGCCCUGUAAGUCCGUGGUGAAAGCCUCUCGCUCAACGAGAGAACUGCCAUGGAUACUGCAGGGCUUGAGGGUAGACGAGGUUGGCGGAAUGGACGGUGUAGCGGUGAAAUGCAUAGAUACCGUCCAGAACCCCGAUUGCGUAGGCAGCUGACUAGGCUACACCUGACACUGAGGCACGAAAGCGUGGGGAGCGAACAGGAUUAGAUACCCUGGUAGUCCACGCCGUAAACGAUGGAUACUCGUUGCAGGCGAUACACGGUCUGUGACUUAGCGAAAGCGUUAAGUAUCCCACCUGGGGAGUACGCUCGCAAGAGUGAAACUCAAAGGAAUUGACGG